AAGUCGUAACAAGGUUUCCGUAGGUGAACCUGCGGAAGGAUCAUUAAUACGUUUCUAAACAAAACGUUUUAAACUCCAAAAUUUGAUAGUGGAAAAUAAACUUCCGGAUGCAUUUGUAGGGAGGUUCAGUGUAAAAACUGGACUUCUUUGAAAAAGGGACUUCAAGGUUUCAAGACUUUGACACUUCAGCAGUGAGGUGAAAAUUCAGCAAUGAGUUUUGGUUCUGAAAUACAUCUGUAUCCGGUUAUUCUCUGUUCUACAACCCUUAAAUUAUCAAACAAUAAACCCCAUGUACAACAACUUGAACUAAACAAUUUUGUUUUCUCCAGCUCUUCGGAGUUUGAGAAAAUGAAGUAAAAUCUGAACUUAAGAACAACUCUUAACAACGGAUAUCUUGGUUCUC
rnacentral:misc_RNA from 1 species